UAUAUAUAUAUAUAUAUAUAUAUAUAUAUAUAUCACACACACAUAUACACACACUUAAGCUUAGUUAUUGUAUUUCCACGAUAUAUAGGAGGCCAUUUCAUGUGAUAAGCAGCACUGCACAUGCAAAGGCCAAGAGUGAUUUCUUGCUUACAUUAAAGCCAUCGCACAACUCAGAAGUUGUCAGCUCUCACAUAAUGUGAAGCCACAAAGGCAGCCAGCUUGGCACUCCUGGAAAUUGGCAUGAGUGAGAGACACAUAGCAAAAAACCUGAAGAUCUCCAAGACAGCCGUUCAUUACACCAAGAAAGAACAAGCCGAACAUGGUACUACCAAAUUGCUAGCUGGUCGUGGCAGGAAACGUCUUUCUACCGUCCAGAUGACUGUGCACUCGUCCGUUCCUGUGUCAGGAAUCUCCGUCAGACCUCUAGGGACCUUAAAAAUGAGUGGGCACUGUCAUGAAAUAUGACUAGUUCGGCAAGGACCACUGUUCCCUCUAAGCUGCGCGUGUGCGCAAUUGCGCACUGCUGACACGGUCUCCUCGCACAGAAAAUCUGCGCUGUGCACAAAAAAAAAAAAAAUCCAACCUAAAUUGUAAAUAAAAUGAACACGUAACAAUUCAUUCUGUGCUAUUUUUCAUUGUGAGUCAGUGAGUGACCGGUGACUGGCUGCUGCAGCCAAUGAUGCGAUUCACAUAGUAUUUACCAUAGACUGUAUAUAAUGGUAUUUACGCAGUUAAUCAACGUCAGACGUCCUUAUGUGCAGCCAUCGUUGUUCUCAUAGAUAUGAAUGAGUAGAUAGGACACGCCCCUUUGAGCUGCGUGCUAGCGAGGCUAAGCUAGUGGUGGAAAAGUUUCAGUGCAUUCCGUUGAUGUAGACGGCAUGAAAACGGAAACAACAAGUAUGCCGGCUCACUGUGCUGCAUACAAUUACACACUGCGUCGUACGAUUGAGACAAGGAAACUUGGAAUGACUUUUCAUAGGUUUCCCAGAGACUAUGGGUUGAGGAGGAAUUGGAAGUUUGUCGGCUUAGACCUGGUGUCAUUCCAUCAGUGUUAAACUUCCUGGCUCAUCUUGAAAGAGUACGUGCCAGAAAGACCACGACCAAGCAGCCUUGAGAUCUUAGGCAGCGUCUCCCUGAGGUCCCUCUCUAUCUCCCUACACAUCCACCAACCACUGGAACACAUCUCCAGAGUUCUGCUGGGCCAGCUAAGCUUCCCCCGCAGAAGAAGUGCCGCCACCUGCCAGAUGAAGGAGCCUUUUGAGAGGCAGCUGGCAUCAUGAUUGGACUGUACUUUGGUCUGUUCCAAUCCAGCUUCAGCUCCAGAGACGGCAGGUGGGACGAGUCAACGGAGGCCUGGUGGACGAAGGCAUGCAGCUGAGUACAAUCCAGAAAACAACAGAGGAGGAGUGCAGCGGCUCAGGGCCAGAACAACCAGAGUAGCAUCGUAUGUCUCUUAUUAAACAUCAUAGUAUAGCCUCUGGUAUGAAAAAAUGCCAUCAUAUACAUCGUAUAUUGUACAAAUAACAAGUUAAAGGAAAGAGACAUACAUUGUAGAAUUGUAGUAAUUGUGGGCUGACUGAUUUACUGAUUAUCAGCAUUUUAUUUUUUAGAAGAAUAGAAUAGAAUAUUCUUUAUUGUCAUUAUACAAUGUAUAAAAAGAUUGCAGAGCUUCUCCUU